GGGAAUGCGCACUGGAGUGAAAAUACAGAAGUUGGUGCCCUUUGCAGCAGCCAGGAGUCCGACUCCUCCUCUUCCUGUGUGGAACCUGGAAUUCAAACGGCUGGGAGGGAAGCACGCUAGCAGGGGCCUCUGGCCUUGCUGAGGGUCCCUGUUUCCCCUUUUCCUUCCUUUUCACCCAACAAAACCCUGCUUUACUCACCCUUCAAACCAUCUAUGAGCCUAAAUUGUCGUGGUCGUGGAAUGGACAAGGACCCAGUCUUUAGCUGAACUAAGGGAAAGUCCUGCUUUUUGGCGCGCAACAGGGGAGCUCAAGAAACAGGCCUCACUCAUGGCAUAUGGAACUAACCACGCCCCUAACUAAGAAGGCACACCUUAGUUGCAGUUAGCACACAAUUAAAGCAACUCUCCAAGUUUUACCUUAAAGUUCAAAAUUGCUAGGAGUUGAAACUACUAGAAAUAUAUUUACAUGCAAGAGUCAAAGAAACUUUGAACUAUUUAUGGCCUUUAAUAAUUAAGUAAGGUAUACUCCUGUGAUCAAGACUUGGAGCAUAUUUGUUUCUCUCUGCCUGGUUCCUCUAGAAAUUGGAAACGAUCAGAACACAGACCAACUCCGUUUCCCGAUCCCUUUGCAAUCUGCAUUGAACCAUGAGUCAAGUUCUUGAUAAAGGAGUGAAAAUGAUAAGUCUAAAGCAAUGAAAAGCUGCUGUAUUGACUACACAUGCCUUCCUUUCUUCUACCCUGCUUCUUUCAUGCCUGCUUAUCUGAAUGACACCAGGAUGACAUUUAAGGCACAUCUGAAGAUGGGGAAACCACAGUACAGAAUAAGGCUGGGCCCUUGAAUCAAUAAAUGAAGGAGAACUACUCAAGAGAACAAAACCACCAGCAAUAUCCACCUGUAUUUGUCUUUUCAUAAUGUGUGACACAUGUGCUCAUGGAUUAUUGUCUGAAGCAAGUCAUGUGACCAAGCUUAACAUCAACUGGGUGAAGAGCUAUAUGUUCCUUUCUCAAGAGGCACUACAGGUGACAUGCCAACGGGCAGGGGGCAGGUCUUUCCUGUGCUGUUCUUGUGAAAGUGAAUAAGUCUCAUGAGAUCUGAAGGCUUUGAAAAACAGGAAUCUCCCUGUACAAGCUCUCUCUUUGCCUGCUGCCAUCCGUGUAAGACGUGACUUUCUCCUUCUUGUCUUCUGCCAUAAUUGUGAGUCCUCCCCAGCCAGGUGGAACUGUAAGUCCAGUUCAACCUCUUUCUUUUGUAAAUUGCCCAGUCUUGGAUAUGUCUUUAUCAGCAGUGUGAAAACAGAGUAAUACAGAAGUAAUUUCUAUGACAUUAUAUAAGAACUAAAGUUUUAUUUUUCCAAAAAUGUUGAAUGUUGAUGCUGUAUUCUGGUGAUGUUUGUUUUACCAGAAAAAUACAUCAUAUUCAGGAUAUGAACUAAACAAAAAUUAGUGGCUACUGCUCAACUGACUUAAAUAUGAGAUCUUGUCUAAUUAUCUCUGAUUGCUUCCUUUGGUUUCUAGUGAUUAAUUAUGCCUAAUUAUUCCUUGAUUUUUGGAAAAUCACAUUUAGUUUCCUCUGCAAAGAAAAGAAUAGGUAAAUCAAGUCCUCUAGAAAAAAAGCAUAAAAAUAUAGUUUUGAAAUUCUAAAACUCAUAAAGGUAAAUAAAAAUCCCAUUUGUUUUUAUUUGAAUAUUUUGCUAGAAAGUACAAUGGAAGGAAAGAAGUCUUUUUUCUAAGACAGCAGUAUUUUAGUCAAUUGUGUAUCAACAGACUUCUGUAUAACUGGGAGCCACAUCUUGGAAAUGCUCUUUGCAAUGGCAGUGACAUCUAAGGAGAGUCCACUCUGAUAUGGACACUAUACUAGGAGGAGACAAGAGUACAGUAGGAAAAAAUUAGUCUGUGCGGUGAAGGAGUCCUACAUUGUCCCUCAGUAGAUUUCUAUAAAAUUUCACUUAAUUAGUAGCAAGUAACAGAGUUGGAAUGAGGACCUAGAUCUUUCAUUUUAAUCUAAUACUCUUUCUUCCACUAUUUUAGUUAGAGUCAUAUGGGCAAGCCCACAAUUAGUACAUAAGGAUAUUUUUAAUGGGUAAGAUUACAGAGAACCAUUAAUUCCAGCCAUUAAAUUAAUCAAUUCAGCAAAGCUCUGAUUCCCCCUUCCCUUAAUUGUUAAAUAAGUAGUUCUCCAUUCAGUUGUUAAAGGAUUAUUUCUUGAUAACAAGGAAAUAAUAAACUUCUUAAGACACCCUGGUAUGAAUAGCUGAAAUUGAUUGAUAGUAAUCUCAGUAAAUUGUUUCAUUCUAAUUUUUGGUAUAUCUAUACUGCUUUGAAUAACUCUUCUACCUACAGCCCAUUAAUAAAUAUUUGCCUAGUCAAAUUUUAGUUUGUGCUAUACUCCUAGAAGGACAUGGGGUGUAUGGAAGCGAAACUAACUGGACAUAUAAGGCAUUCAAUAAUGUCUUUUUGCUUCCGAUUCUAGCUGAAUAACAUAGGUAAAUCUCUUAAAUUCUCAGAACUUCGAUUUAUUUAUAUGUAAAGUGAGGAGUUGUACCAUAUUGGUAGUUAUUAACAUGUACUGUACUUAUGAAUCAGUCUGAAAAUCUUGCUAAACUGCAUAUUCUGAGCUUUUAUUAAUUUUUUUUUGUUUUCUCGGAAACGCUGAUUCUGUAGGUCUUGGUUGGAGUCCAGGUAUCUGCAAAUUAAAUAAGCACUUGAAGUGAUAGUAUCUGAGUGUCUGUAGGCAAAUGUUAGGAGAACUGAAUCAGAUAUUCUUUGAAAGAUUUUCAUGGUUCUAAAAUGUUCUGAUUUAAAAUCCACAAAGAAAAAAAGCAUUGAAAAUGAAUCAGCAAACUAGAUGUAAUUAAAGCUUCUUGCAAUUCCAUUAGUAAACUUUUUAGAAUGAAUUACACUUUAAGUAUGUCUUCAUUUUUUCUUUUACAUUGGCAUGAAAGCAGUGAACCCUGAAAUGUUUCAGUCCUUGAGUUCCCAAAGUUAUGUAAAAGCUUGAUAAUCUUAAUUAACCCACAUUAUCUCUUAUCAUAUAAUAAUAGUGCUUUCUAGAAGAUGACUAUCAGAUGGUGAAGUCAGUUCAUUAGGUUUAUAUCAGCUGGUCAUUACUUCAAGUUUUUAAGCUAUAGAAGUCUGAACUACCACCAAAAGAGCAACUAUCAUUUUUUGCUCACAUAAAGAAGUAAAAAUCUUCAAAAUAGUCUCAGGUUUUCUAUAAAUAUUGUUCUCUCAUAUUCUAGGAAACCACCUAAAGUAUAUUCCAAUUGAUAAACUAAAAUCACUUGGAGUUUGCUAAUUUUGAAGAUGACAAAGGUCCAGGAGCUUUCACACAGCUCCUUAGUGGUUUCAGUGUGGCCUGACUAGUGGCUGGACUGUGCCACAACAACUUAUUUUAAAGAUUAUUGUGAUACUAUUGGUAAAUAAAUGAUUGGAAAACAUAGAUACCUAUCUGCAUGUAAAAUAAUAGUCUCCCACCACUUUCUCUUUUUCACUUUUCACAUUCCGAUAUUAUCCCUGUUUUGCUACUUAUCAUCACGUUGUAAAAUAAGUUUAUAUUAGAUUUUACCUGAAGAUAGUAAAGAUAGUAAGGAUGCUAAGGGUUUUCUUAGGAUACUUAGAAAAUAUAGUAAUUCUGUCAUCUCUCUAAUUAUAAUAAGAUUAUUGACUAAUAAUCUGGAAGUAUGGCCUCGGUACACUCACCUGAGCAAUGAGAGACUGGGUAGGCCUGAUAUUCUUUAUUAUAGAAACACACUGUUUAGAAUAAACAGUUACAUAAUCAAA